rnacentral:rRNA from 1 species
GAUGUAACGGGGCUAAACCAUGCACCGAAGCUGCGGCAGCGACACUGUGUGUUGUUGGGUAGGGGAGCGUUCUGUAAGCCUGUGAAGGUGUGCUGUGAGGCAUGCUGGAGGUAUCAGAAGUGCGAAUGCUGACAUAAGUAACGAUAAAGCGGGUGAAAAGCCCGCUCGCCGGAAGACCAAGGGUUCCUGUCCAACGUUAAUCGGGGCAGGGUGAGUCGACCCCUAAGGCGAGGCCGAAAGGCGUAGUCGAUGGGAAACAGGUUAAUAUUCCUGUACUUGGUGUUACUGCGAAGGGGGGACGGAGAAGGCUAUGUUGGCCGGGCGACGGUUGUCCCGGUUUAAGCGUGUAGGCUGGUUUUCCAGGCAAAUCCGGAAAAUCAAGGCUGAGGCGUGAUGACGAGGCACUACGGUGCUGAAGCAACAAAUGCCCUGCUUCCAGGAAAAGCCUCUAAGCAUCAGGUAACAUCAAAUCGUACCCCAAACCGACACAGGUGGUCAGGUAGAGAAUACCAAGGCGCUUGAGAGAACUCGGGUGAAGGAACUAGGCAAAAUGGUGCCGUAACUUCGGGAGAAGGCACGCUGAUAUGUAGGUGAAGUCCCUCGCGGAUGGAGCUGAAAUCAGUCGAAGAUACCAGCUGGCUGCAACUGUUUAUUAAAAACACAGCACUGUGCAAACACGAAAGUGGACGUAUACGGUGUGACGCCUGCCCGGUGCCGGAAGGUUAAUUGAUGGGGUCAGCGCAAGCGAAGCUCUUGAUCGAAGCCCCGGUAAACGGCGGCCGUAACUAUAACGGUCCUAAGGUAGCGAAAUUCCUUGUCGGGUAAGUUCCGACCUGCACGAAUGGCGUAAUGAUGGCCAGGCUGUCUCCACCCGAGACUCAGUGAAAUUGAACUCGCUGUGAAGAUGCAGUGUACCCGCGGCAAGACGGAAAGACCCCGUGAACCUUUACUAUAGCUUGACACUGAACAUUGAGCCUUGAUGUGUAGGAUAGGUGGGAGGCUUUGAAGUGUGGACGCCAGUCUGCAUGGAGCCGACCUUGAAAUACCACCCUUUAAUGUUUGAUGUUCUAACGUGGACCCGUGAUCCGGGUUGCGGACAGUGUCUGGUGGGUAGUUUGACUGGGGCGGUCUCCUCCUAAAGAGUAACGGAGGAGCACGAAGGUUGGCUAAUCCUGGUCGGACAUCAGGAGGUUAGUGCAAUGGCAUAAGCCAGCUUGACUGCGAGCGUGACGGCGCGAGCAGGUGCGAAAGCAGGUCAUAGUGAUCCGGUGGUUCUGAAUGGAAGGGCCAUCGCUCAACGGAUAAAAGGUACUCCGGGGAUAACAGGCUGAUACCGCCCAAGAGUUCAUAUCGACGGCGGUGUUUGGCACCUCGAUGUCGGCUCAUCACAUCCUGGGGCUGAAGUAGGUCCCAAGGGUAUGGCUGUUCGCCAUUUAAAGUGGUACGCGAGCUGGGUUUAGAACGUCGUGAGACAGUUCGGUCCCUAUCUGCCGUGGGCGCUGGAGAACUGAGGGGGGCUGCUCCUAGUACGAGAGGACCGGAGUGGACGCAUCACUGGUGUUCGGGUUGUCAUGCCAAUGGCACUGCCCGGUAGCUAAAUGCGGAAGAGAUAAGUGCUGAAAGCAUCUAAGCACGAAACUUGCCCCGAGAUGAGUUCUCCCUGACCCUUUAAGGGUCCUGAAGGAACGUUGAAGACGACGACGUUGAUAGGCCGGGUGUGUAAGCGCAGCGAUGCGUUGAGCUAACCGGUACUAAUGAACCGUGAGGCUUAACCUUACAACGCCGAAGGUGUUU